rnacentral:snRNA from 1 species
AUGCUCGCUUUGGCAGCACAUAUAUUAAAAUUGGAACAAUACAAGAUUAGCAUGGCCCUGCGCAAGGAUGAUACGUGAAGGGAAAGGCGCUGCCAAUUCUG